AAGUAAGCAAUGAAUGUCUAGGUGCAGAUGCUGAUGAAAAAGAAGUAAGCAAUGAAGCAUGCCGUUCAAUCUGAUCAAUCUACUCCCUGGGGAGGUUGGAAAUCAAAUGAUGUGUACAACAAUUCAGGAUGUUGUUUGAAUUACUUGUCCUAACAGGUGCACAAGUUGGGAUGGAUUGAACUUCUAUCUUGAGAAAACGCCAUGAUUUCAGGGCUGCUUUCUCCAGGUUUGAUGCAGAAAUCGUUGCCAACUUCACAGAAAGACAAAUAACAUCAGUGGCCACAGAUUGCAACUUGGAUUUAAACAAGGUUCGAGGUGCCGUCAAUAAUACUAACAGAAUCCUUCAGGUCAGAUUGUUGAUUGGACCUGAUUUUAUUUAAAUGAUCUUGAUAAUCCAUUUUAUUUAAAUGAGCAGACCCGGAUGUGCGUCGGAGCUAUCCGGAUGUUGAGCGGGGGUCCCUAGAAGGUGGGAACCGCUGUUAUGACCA